AGCGGCGGAUGGGUGAGUAACACGUGGGGAACCUGCCCCUAAGUCUGGGAUACCAUUUGGAAACAGGUGCUAAUACCGGAUAAUAAAGCAGAUCGCAUGAUCAGCUUUUGAAAGGCGGCGUAAGCUGUCGCUAAGGGAUGGCCCCGCGGUGCAUUAGCUAGUUGGUAAGGUAACGGCUUACCAAGGCGACGAUGCAUAGCCGAGUUGAGAGACUGAUCGGCCACAUUGGGACUGGGACACGGCCCAAACUCCUACGGGAGGCAGCAGUAGGGAAUCUUCCACAAUGGACGCAAGUCUGAUGGAGCAACGCCGCGUGAGUGAAGAAGGUUUUCGGAUCGUAAAGCUCUGUUGUUGGUGAAGAAGGAUAGAGGUAGUAACUGGCCUUUAUUUGACGGUAAUCAACCAGAAAGUCACGGCUAACUACGUGCCAGCAGCCGCGGUAAUACGUAGGUGGCAAGCGUUGUCCGGAUUUAUUGGGCGUAAAGCGAGCGCAGGCGGAAAAAUAAGUCUAAUGUGAAAGCCCUCGGCUUAACCGAGGAACUGCAUCGGAAACUGUUUUUCUUGAGUGCAGAAGAGGAGAGUGGAACUCCAUGUGUAGCGGUGGAAUGCGUAGAUAUAUGGAAGAACACCAGUGGCGAAGGCGGCUCUCUGGUCUGCAACUGACGCUGAGGCUCGAAAGCAUGGGUAGCGAACAGGAUUAGAUACCCUGGUAGUCCAUGCCGUAAACGAUGAGUGCUAAGUGU
rnacentral:rRNA from 1 species